ensembl:lncRNA
AUUUACUUUUAAAAUGUGUAACCUUAAAGUUAUUUAGACUAUGAGGAAGCAGCUUAGAGAGGGCAGUCAACAAAAAUAGCCAACACAUCGCUAGCUAAAAAGCUGUACAAUACAUUUUAUUACUAUUAACUAUAACUACCUAAUGGUUAGUAAAGCAGCAAAUAUUGUAUUUAGAUGCUUAUUUUGUAACUGAAGCAGCUGUGUUUGGACAUUUGUCCUGGUUAUUAAAACAGCAAAUGUACGUUUGUACACUUAACUAGCCUAGCUAGCUAACCUACCAAUAAUAAUGGUCCAACACCAUCAAUGCCAUAUUUGUACAAUGGUCAGAACAUUGGCAUGGUCCCAGCAGAGCUGCUUCGUUCCCCCAACAUAUCAUAGUGACCGGAACUGUAACAUCGGGUCAAAGGGAGCCAAGAAAGAUUAAUUGCAAUUUUCCACACUGGAAGAAUGGAAAGCGAGGCGGUCGAGCUGGGGAAACUGAAAAGGACCUUCAUUAACCAAAGCCAUCAUCUGGACUGACCAUGGAGUUGCAUUUAAAGAAAAAUAGUUUGUUUUGACGUGAAAUGCUCCAUUCUAGAGAAAGCUGUCAAAUCAGAUUAAAGUUUAUUGCCUCUAAAAGCUCUAUUAGAGAAAAUUAUAGAAAUAUAUGCUAGAAAUAUGCUGCUUGAUGUCUGAUGCAUUGUUUUUAUGAAAGAUCUGUGCUAAAGUUUUAGCAUAAAAGGUAUUUUAAGUCGUUUUUUGAAUGCAUCAGUAGUGAAAAAAUACACCAACGAGUGGAAGUACUAAG